rnacentral:rRNA from 1 species
AACGAACGCUAGCGGCGUGCUUAACACAUGCAAGUCGAACGCGAAAGUCCCUUCGGGGGCGAGUAGAGUGGCGCACGGGUGAGUAACGCGUAGGAACGUACCUAAGGGUGGGGAAUAACCACGGGAAACCGUGGCUAAUACCGCAUAAUAUCGCAAGAUCAAAGGAGGCCUCUACUUGUAAGCUUCCGCCGUUAGAGCGGCCUACGUCCUAUUAGCUAGUUGGUAGGGUAAAAGCCUACCAAGGCGAUGAUGGGUAACUGGUCUGAGAGGAUGAUCAGUCACACAGGAACUGAGACACGGUCCAGACUCCUACGGGAGGCAGCAGUGGGGAAUCUUGCACAAUGGGCGAAAGCCUGAUGCAGCAACGCCGCGUGGGUGAAGAAGGUUUUCGGAUUGUAAAGCCCUUUCGGUUGGGAAGAAGGGCGAAGUGGUUAAUACCCACCUCGUCUGACGGUACCAGAAUAAGAAGCACCGGCUAAUUCCGUGCCAGCAGCCGCGGUAAUACGGAAGGUGCAAGCGUUGUUCGGAA